CUGUAGCUCAGUUGGUAGAGCAUUUGACUUUUAAUCAAAGGGUCCGGGGUUCAAAUCCCCGCA
rnacentral:tRNA from 1 species